UAAGGCUGCCUUAUGGUAGCACACACCUGGUCACAAGACAGACUUGACAGAAUAUGGAGGACAUCAGUCACCUUGAUGCUUACCUCUCUUGUGCUUUACCCUCAGGCGGGCUAUGUUUCGAGCAUGCUGGCUCCUGUUGGCAUUGGCAUUGCUGGGGCACUCUUCAUCCUUGGAGCCCUUUACAGCAUCAAGGUGAUUCACCGCAAGAGGAAGAGCAGCUUCAAGAGACAGCGUCGAAAGCACAGGGAAAUGAGCACCAGACAGGACAGAGUGAUGCUACUGGCUGACAGUUCGGAAGAUGAGUUCUAAUUCUGCCAGCAUCCCCACUUCUCUAGCAAUAAAUCCUUCCAACAUCUUUUGGAGCUUUCGGCACCUUCACUGCAUCUGGAGCUCAACCGUGUGUCUUACAUUACCUCAGAUAUUGCUCCAUCUAUUUGGACCAGCCUUUGUGGGGAUUGGGAUGGGGAUUGGAGAAGAGGAGUGGGUGAAAAAAAAAGAGGAACAAGACUUGGAUCUGCAAAAUGAGCCCAACAAAAAUAAGAUGGGGAUGUCUUAAAUAAGAGACAGUGAAUAGAUAAGGAACUCAAAGAGGCCGUUCAUUCCAUCCGACUAAUUUAAGAGAUUCAUCACUCAGCUGCUUUGGUAGAGGUUGAAGAUGGAGCUCACAUGAAGUUCAGUUUCUGCCAGAGGCUCUAUAUUAGUCAUGAUAUGAUGAGCCACCAUUAUUUGGUAAACUCUAGUAUUCAGCGUUCGAUGAAAUAAUUUGAAGUGGGACACUGAUUCACACAAGACACAGACAUGGACACAAAUUAGUACAGUCAGACAAUUUCUGGAUAUUGAGGACAACAACAGAAAGAUUCAUCAUGGAAGAGGAAAACAGUGAAACCUUCCUCAUUCACAAGGACAUCAUAGCAACGUCUGAGAAAUCUGAUGUCCUGGUUUUAGUAGACGAUGAAUAGGAUCAUAAAGAAAAGUCUUGAUCAUUAAAGACAGAGAAACAAAAUGAAGGUUUGACCAACAUCUUGUUAUGCAAGCUAAUUUACAACCUCUGAAACACCGCAGGUUCUGGAAUCGGACAAGUGACUUCUUUAUUUUUUAAGGCAACGUCAUUUCAAGAACUAAAGAGACACUGCUGUCUGCUAGCUUCAAAUCAAACCUCUCUUAGUUUCAGAAGAUAAACCUACAACAGAAAAAUCUUCAGACUAACAUGAUGGAUUGUAAAAAAAAUGACCUAUUCUGGCAGAGAUGUCCAUUGUCUUCAGGUGAAUGCCUUAUCCAGUGUUCUUCCAAAUGAGCAACUGCAGCAGACAUCAUUAAGGGCUCAGCCUCUUUGGCUGGGGUGUUUCCUGAUUCCUAGGUAGCCAACUAGUUUAUGGCUCUUCAAAAGCCCAUCCUGUUUUAUUUGAAGAGUUGUACCAUUGUAAUAAUAACCUUGGCUUGAUUUCUCAGGGUAAUGAUCCCACAGUUUUCAUGCGGUCCACCUUUUUGUCAAAUUUUAAGCUGCAAGCAUGUUCAGCAAGUCCAGUUUCAUCACAUCCUUCCUUGGUGUUGUGGCCACUUUGAUGUCCUUCAGAUCCUCACUGCUCUGCUCUGCAUUCCAGGCUGAUGGAGUGUUUCUACUCUUUUACCCGCUCAUUUUUAUUAAUGUCCAUCCAUUUUUAAACCGCCUCUACAGCAUUUACAGUACAUCUCAGUAUGACUAUAUGUAGCUGUCAGGAUGUUCUGGCUUAAAACACAAACGUUUUCUUACAGAGACAGAUUAGAGUCUACUUUAAGAAAACCAAGGCAUGUCCAAGUUCCAACUCCAGUUUCUUCCAGGUCUAUAAAUGCCCUGCAAAGUCGACCUUAUCAAGGCAGACACAGGGACCCGCACAGAGUGGAUUUUGACGUUUUGGCUCAAAGAGCAGCAAUCCAUUCUCCUUGAAUAGUUUCCAGAAGGGAUAAAUGUCUUGACUAACCACAUCAUUAAUAGCAAGCAGCACUCCGUGGUUAGACUGGUCAGCGAACUGUCAAAAUCUGUAGUUGUCUCCUAGUUUCUUAACCUCCAUGCUUAAUGUAAAUGAAUAUGCUGAAGUUGUAGUGAUGAUUAUGAUGAAAACACUUUCUUGUUUUGGCUAGUUUUAAUACUCCAGUUUUUAUUAUCCACUUUAUCAAUAAUGCAUUUUGCUUGUGUGCUUCAGAAUUUUCUAUUAAAGUCAUAAACCCCAGACUUAUUAUUCACCCCUGUCAACAGGCAGAGUGAUUUGCUUUGAGUUUUUUAGAUGCUAAGUCUCUUAUUAUAUUGUCUUUCCAAUUAAUACUGUGCUUUAUUCUGUCUACUAUACUUGGGUAUCCAUUUCUGCCACAGAUAGGCUGGAUUAAGACCCCCACAGGCCCGUAGGUGACUUAGCUCCUUAACAGAGCAUUGAUCGUAGAAUGCAGAAACUCAGUCAUUAAGCGCAGUGUGUUAUUUCUCACUCACUUCACCAUCUGGUUGGGGGGGGGUCCCUCUUGAUCAUAUCAGAUACUUGCUUGCUUAGUGGGGGGAGUAGGGGGAGUCUUUUGGUCUCAUAUGGUAAUUUCAGCUCGUAGGAUACUCUAACAAUUCCUCAAGCUUGAGGGCUCUUAUUGAAAUGGCUCCGUACUGUCUCAGGCCCCUUAGUGCACACCCUAAAUGCCAUGAUCGUAGAUCCACACCUGUAAUACAGGUAUCCCUUUUCUUCCUGCUCAGUUUCCCACCUCAACAUGGUAAGUGUUUAUCGAGGCAUAGCAUUAGAGCAGCUGACACACACUUCGUUACCCUCCCAUGGUCCAUACUGAUGCUGUUAGGGUAACAGACGACUGAUUGAGUGUUAGUACCUAUAUGUGUGCAUCAUGUCACAGCCUGGUGUCCUUUUUGCCGCUGGUUGCUGCUUUACACUUGCAGGGGUUGGAAUAAGUUUUGCUUCCCUACAACCUUAUAUUGAAUAACUAGAUUAAAAAAUGGAUAGAUGAACAGGAAUGGUUAAUUGUUGCUAAAGGACAUAGAUCUUAUUAACACAGAAACAAAGUACUCUAUUCAUAAUGUGCCUCCAGGUUUGAAAAUGUCCUCAUUUUUGGAGUGCCACAGCUUUUCCUUCAUGGCAUCAGGCUAUAAACUAAGGCCUACUCUGCAUGCAUGGCCGUGCCCCACAGGAUGCCCCUCAUUUCCUGGGCUGUGGGUCAAUGCUUGUUGUCCUCCAUAGUCCUUAAACACUAAACCCAAAGAAAAACCAGUGGGUGUGGUGACUCACCAGGAUGGAUGUUGUGUGCUGCCAGUUUAGCAGUCGGGUGCCAUUAGAGAAGCCCAAGCUUCUACUUGAGUUCAGUGUCCCCUGUCCCUGCAUAGCUUGCUUGACAUAGUGGAAGUUUCUGUUCAAUUUGGAUUAGUUAUUUUUUUAUGAGAAAACCACAAUAAAAUAACUUGGCUCUCUUUUACAUUCUGUAAGAGGAAUACAAUCUCUAACUGUUUUGAGAAAAUGCGUAAAACUGACUUGUUUUUAUUUGAUUGUGUGCACUCGCUCUGGUCCCUAUAUAUACUGAAAUAAAUGAUAACACGUUAA